AUCACCUAGGGAUCUUGUUAAAAUGCAGAAUCAGAUUUUGUAGGUCUGGGUUGGGGCCUCAGAUUCUGAUUUUUAACAGGCUUCUAAGUGAUGCUAG
rfam:Homo sapiens chromosome 11, GRCh38 reference primary assembly.